UGCUAAUAAAGUAAAAGUCCAGUAAGUACAGGGCAGGCAGGACCAGUAAUAUCGUGCCAGCCCACCUAGGGAUCCAAAAUGAUGAUCCCCUCGCUGCAGCUGGAUGAGAACGCGUCUGUCAUUGCUCGCUCUUGUGUCUAAUGAAUGAGGUGGGCUCCAGGGGGCGCAUUGAGUGAACUGUGAGCAGGGUGUCAGGGAGUGAAUG